UACGUGCUGUAGUCCUGAUGCUGCUACUAUCCACCAUUCCCAGAUUAUCUAUUGCGAAUCAGGCCGUCUUAUUAUUUCCGAAGACUACUUUCUUCCAAUUUACAGUUGGCAUUACUGUUCCCUUCAUCACUAGCAAAAGGGGGAACAUCGUCACAAAUUUUGGAUUUCAAUUCAACUACGCCCUACCAUGGAAUCUGAGCCAACUUCAUGAACCCGGGGUCAUACCUGCCAGAAAAAAUCAUUUCGAUCUUCGCACCGCAUAUUCUGCUAUCGAACAAUUGCUCGAUACGUAUGGCUGGAGGAAUGGCAAGGAGUGCCUUCUGAGGAGCAUCUGUGAGCUAGCUGAGACGCCUCUGGGUGAAACCGACCGAGACAUCCUCCAGGAAGUAAUUCACUUGUUCCUAACGCCAACGGUAGAUUUACCAGAGGUGGGUAAUUCCACUCACCAGAGCGUAGACAAAUCGUAUCACGAAGCCGAACUAUUGGGGAAAUCUGGUGGUGACUGUACCCUGACUUAUCCCAAUUGCCCCGAAUCACCACUCAAGUCAUUCACAAAGAUAUCCCUCACCUCCGACUGACUCCAAAAUUCACACCCCUUGGAGUUUAGCAUACUGAUUUUCGAGACAAUAAGCCAUUGAAUCCGAGUUAUAAGCUGGAGCAGGAGACACCCUCACGUCAAAACUUGCACGUAGCAUCUUCCUUUUGUUCCUCAUCUUGUGAGUGUCGUGUGCACGUUACAGCAUCUGCUGUCACCUCGGCUUCGCUCAUCUUCUUGAUAUGUCAACGACAAAAUCAAGUAAUCCCUGAGGUUUCUGGGUAUCGUGAGACAGCAAGAUGAUACUCAUUAGUUUCUUGCUCAUUGGCUUAUACAGCGGAUGGGGAUGUGGCGAAACGAUGGCCAACGAGGAACUUCUGUAUCCACCACCUCUAGUCUACCCAUUUGGAGGUACCAUCAAGUUUCAGUAUGCACUACCCCAGAAUGCAACAUUCUUCACAGACUAUUUCACAUCAUUAACUAAACGACGGAGAAGGUCAACAAGCG